rnacentral:lncRNA from 1 species
CAGCCCGCCCCGCCCCGCCCCGGGCUGCCCCCGAGCGCUGCCCGCCCGCGCCGCCCGCAGAGGGAACGGCGGCGGCACCCCGGAUCCCCAGGGCCCGGUGGGAGCCGGAUCCCCAGGGCCACCCUCCCUGCUUACCCCCUCCUCAUCCCGGGGGCUCGGUCUUUCUCCCGUGCGGUGCCAUCAACAGCGGCUGUCAUUGCGGAAAGCGGCCCCAAGGGCAGCAAGUGACCCGGGCGGGAGAGCGCCUGUCCGGGCUGAGUGGAACAGCGGCAAGGAAACAGUGUGGGGCUCCAGGUGGGAAUUCAGCUUUGCUGAGGUCUUGGAGAGGAAGGAGUGGGGACUGCAUAUCUCAUGAGAAAAGCAGGAAAGCAAUAGAUUGACUGAUGCAAAUGAAAUACAAAGCAAGGUGGAAGAAAAUGACAGGCAGGUAAGUUCUCAAUUUUCUCUUUGACUAUCUUGCAAACCUGCCAUGUGAUUCUGGAGAGCUUUCUUCUGGGAAAGUUCCAUUGAAUUCAAACAAAGUAAGAUUUAAAGCUAGUAUGGUGAAAUACUCUGUAGCUCUCUGCUUCUGGAUCUCCUCUUUCCUGGGUCUGCAAGGCAUAACUCCAUCUUCUUAUUUAUGCCUUGAGCUAUAUAACUUAACUAAAGGAUUAGGACUUUAAUAACUAACCUAAUGAAAGGAGCCUAGGUUCAUGGGAGGCUGCAGUACUAGCCAUGCAAGGUUCCCAGUCUGAGUCAGGUGCCUAUUAUAUUCCUUAUGGAGAAUUUGGAAUGGGCUCUGUGAAGAGUGUUGUGUUGGGUACAGAGUCACCUAAGGCAAAAGGGCUAAGAAAUACUGGGAAUAUGUGUAGGGCUUAAAUGUUGUCCUUCUCUCUUCCUAUCUCUACGGAAGGCACUUAUGUUGUCUUUGUCUCAUAUAUCUUACAGAAAAUAAUUCAAAACUCAUUAGGGAAAAUUAGAAUGAUUGUUCAAACUGAUGCUUGUAUUUCUGGUGAAACUGAGCCUUAAUUACAAGGCAUAUUUACGUAUAUAAUAUAAAGCCUCACCAAUCGAAAUACAUGGUGCCAUUUUAUCUAAGGGAUACUUUUGUGAAAACCAAGCUCACCUUGCAUGAAGCUGCAUGCUUGCUUAGAUGCCAUAUGUAUGCAUAUGCAUGCAAGUUUCAGAAUUAACCACUACGUGUGUCUGUGAGUAGAGUAUAAAUAACAGUUGAAUUUUUGUCAUUUACAAUUACUGUCUAUGUGGCCUUGAGCUGAGAAGUUCCCUUGAAUCCUCAUUUGGCUCUCUGAGCACAAUGAGACUAUUUCAGGGCCAGUGACAAGUAGGAAGAGCUCCAUAAUUGUCAUUAACCAUAUGAGUUGUUUGUCCUCUGCUUGGGUU